CCUACGGGAGGCAGCAGUGGGGAAUAUUGCACAAUGGGGGAAACCCUGAUGCAGCGACGCCGCGUGAGUGAAGAAGUAAUUCGUUAUGUAAAGCUCUAUCAGCAGGGAAGAAAAUGACGGUACCUGAGUAAGAAGCCCCGGCUAACUACGUGCCAGCAGCCGCGGUAAUACGGAGGGGGCAAGCGGUAUCCGGAUUUUCUGGGUGUAAAGGGAGCGUAGACGGUAGUGCAAGUCUGGAGUGAAAGGCUGGGGCUCAACCCCCGGACGGCUCUGGAAACUGGACGGCUGGAGUGCAGGAGAGGUAAGUGGAAUUCCUAGUGUAGCGGUGAAAUGCGUAGAUAUUAGGAGGAACACCAGUGGCGAAGGCGGCUGACUGGACUGUAACUGACGUUGAGGCUCGAAAGCGUGGGGAGCAAACAGGAUUAGAUACCCUAGUAGUU
rnacentral:rRNA from 1 species